rnacentral:rRNA from 1 species
AUUGAACGCUGGCGGCAGGCCUAACACAUGCAAGUCGAACGCGUCGCGGACGGGUGAGUAAUGUCUGGGAAACUGCCUGGUGGGGGGGGAUCACUACUGGAAACGAUCGCUAAUACCGCAUCCCCUCAGAUGCGCCCAGAUGGGAUUAGCUUGUUGGUGGGGUAACGGCGCACCAAGGCGACGAUCCCUAGCGGGUCUGAGAGGAUGACCAGCCACACUGGAACUGAGACACGGGCCAGACUCCUACGGGAGGCAGCAGUGGGGAAUAUUGCACAAUGGGCGCAAGCCUGAUGCAGCCAUGCCGCGUGUAUGAAGAAGGCCUUCGGGUUGUAAAGUACUUUCAGCGGGGAGGCGUUACCCGCAGAAGAAGCACCGGCUAACUCCGUGCCAGCAGCCGCGGUAAUUC